UAAUCACGUGCCGAUAUUAAGUUGUUGGUACGAUUGCGUAAGCCAACAAUGGUAGUGGACCCCCACGCAAAAGAGGUUGAUUGUGAUACAAAAACCCCGAACGGAGUCGGAUAAGUGAAUCGAACAGAGUGAUCUCAGGACAAAGGAGAAAUGCCUAAAGAGGAUCAACAAAAUUUGAAUUGGAUCAAGAAAUCGGCGAAGCCCAAUUUGUUUCGACUUCAACAUAACUUUGAAAAAGCUGAACGCGCCCUUCUGAGAUCUCAAGGUUGCGACCCGA